AUAAAAUUCAACUUCCAUAUCCAACCACCAGUAUGUAUACUAUGAGGCAGUCAAUAUGCUUGCUAGGGUCUAGCUUAUAGCAGGUGCCUCACAAAUGUAUAUUGAAAUAAUAAGCCUAUCAAUCAAUGAAUGAUGGAAUUCAAGUGACCAUCUGGCCAAGUCAAACUAGCCCUCUCGUGGCAGAGUUAUACACAUUCUGGAGUGCCCUUUAAAUAUUUUUGUUGGAUGUGGACUGAGUUAAAUACUUCAUGAAUGAAACAAACACAGGUCGGCAGAUGAUCAUGAACCUUCCAAGAGUUUUAGAGGUGUUUUUCUGUUUUAUUUAAAAAUAAAUAAAAACAUUCAUUCCUGACUUAAAAAUAAUCACAGAACAUUUAUGUUUCUUUGGCUCCUCUCUGUUUUCCUCUCCCUCUCCCUUUCUCUCUCUUUCUCUUUCUCUUGCUGUGUCACAUAGGCUGGACAGAGAAGAAAUCAGAAGAAGCUCAAACCUGUGUAGAAUACUGUCUGCCUUUAAGAAGAAGAAAACUCUGCCAUAUGCAACAACAUGGAUGAACCUGGAGGACAUUACGCUCAGUGAAACAAGCCAAUCACAGAAGGACAAAUACUACUUGAUUCCACUUUUAUAAAGUGGGACAGAGGACAGACCAGAGGCAACUUAAACCUGUUCGGAAUGACUUCAGCAGGUCCUGGGAUAUGAAGGUCCCUCCUAAAUCAGAAGAGAGUAUCUUAAGUUACAUAUCUGUUAUAAAGAACAUCUCCCCGUGUCCCCAAAAUAUAAAGACACACUAAAAAUACAUAUGACCCAAGGAGAGAACCCACACAAGUGUGGGUGUGAUUCACAAAGUUAUAAAUAUCACUUGCAUAAAGGAUGACUCAGAGAAAAAUAAUUUAGAAAGAGACCAAGAACAUUAUUUUAUUAAUAUAAUUUCUUCUGAGAGAAAAAUGAGGCUGAAAUAUAUGACACUGCUUUCCUGUUUCUCCCCAAUAAUGAACCCCUAAAUGGGGUUGAUAGGAAGAGUCUGCUAUAGAUCACUCCUGUUCUCAGUUACCUCUUCCAUGAAAUGAAAAUGCUAAGAAUAAUAUCCACCUAAUAAUAAUAUGAAAAACAUUAGGUAAUAUUUACUGAGCUUUACUAUGAGUUAGAAAUCAGCCUGCAGCAAUUAUGUCAUGAAACCUCUACAAGCCUGAUGAAAAAGAUACUACUGUCUUAUGAUUGCUACUUUAGAGAUGGGAAUUACAAGACUUAGAGGUAUUUUAGUAAUUUCUUCCAGGUUGCAUCACCAGUAAAUGGCAAAAACAAUAUUCAAAACCAAGAAGUCUGAUUUCAGAAGCCACAGCCUAAAUACCAGGAUAAAUAUCUCUUGAUUAAAUAAGAUAAAGCAUGUAAUAGUAAGCACUCCAUAUAUGAAAGUGACUACUAUAUUUCAUCUAAGUCCUGCUUCUAUGCAUUCUACACUAUUAUCCCAUGCUAGUCCACACGUGGAAUUUCUUUCUUGUGUUAGUAUUUAUUUCAGUCUGCAGGUUCUUUCCAUCUCUGCUGAUAGGAAGGAUCAAAAUUCACUUAGAGAAGAUUUUUCAAUUCCUAAGAAGACUUAGCAUCUCUUCAGCAUGCUCUGUGAAUUUCAAGGCUCUUGAUUGAAGCUUCUUAUCCUCUAUGCAUCCAUGUGCUCAUUAAAUUCUGAAACAAGGCUCAUGAACCAAAAGAAAAACGGUUAAGAACCACAGCUCUGGCUCUGAUGACUGAAGCAUGACUUCUGUCUCUAUUUAUGAGGAGUUGGGGUUUGGCACUUUUCUUCCUACUUUGAGCUUUCUGUGUUCAAUGCCUAAUACCACUUAGAUUUUCCUUCUGUCAAAGCCCUACGGAAUAUUGGUACCAUCACAUGAGUUUUAAAAAAAUUCUAUGUUGUUGAAAAGUCUAAAAGUUCAGAAAUAAUACUUAAAACAUCCCCAUCUGAGAUUUAAGUGUUCAGUAGGCUAUUAAAGAUGCUGAGAAGUACUGUAGUAAUGUAACAGCAAGCUGUUUAACUUACCUGCUUAUGGAAAGCUUUUUCAUAUGUAACCCUGUUAACUCCCCAUAGCAUUUUGCUUGGGGAAAAAAAAAAGUAGCAUUAGACAGAAGUGUGUAAUCCAUGAAAUUCCUGGAUUGUGUCCCACUGAAUACAAUGCAUCUCAGAAUUACACUCUUUGUCCAUUUCAUGCCAGUUUUCAGGACAGCACAUAUACAAUUUUCCCAUUUUCAUAAUUCUCUCUCAUUAGCUUGAGUGUUCCAUGAGGAUACAUUUUUGUCAUGUUUACCUUUAAAAUACCAUCACACUGUCUAGAAUUUAUUAGUUAUAAAUAAACACUUCUUGAAUAAAUGAAUUACUCAGAACCUUUUGUUUGUUUCAUUGGUGGUGAAUAGAGUAAACAACCGUUCCAAUUUGCCCAGAAUUAAGAAAUUUUCUGAGAUUUGGGGCUUUCAGUGAGAAAACAGAUUGUUCCAGGCAAACUAGGACAAAUUGGUCAUGCUAUGCGGUGGUGAUUUUUUAUUUUGUUGAUUUUUGCUUUUAAUUAUCAUAUUUGUCCACUCUGUGUGUGUGUCCAGAUUUUAGCUAAACACUAGCCAUGAAUUAGUGUGUUUACUUCUCAAAACAGCCUCAGGAAAUAUGUAUGAUUUCGUCUCCAUUUCACAGAUGAAGAAAUCAAGGCAAAAUUUUCAUGCCUUGGCCACAGAUACCCAGCCUUACCCUGCUGUCUGGUUCUAGAGUCUGUGCCCUCCAAAAUGAAUUCUGCAGGUACAGCAAAGAGCAUAAGGUCACGAAAUUCAUCUUUGAAAAUAAGAGCUCAGUAAUUCACAUAGAAAAUAAUGUGGACAAGCACAAUCCAUUCCCUGCUGGGUGAGAUAGAAUGUGAGAGAAAGAAGUCUGGAAAGCCAUAAUCUUAACAUUAAUCCAAGAUGCGAGUGAAUUUGAAUUUGAGCUUUUAAUAUGUUAUAUACAGGCCAAGCAAGCUGAGAGCUAUUUUUAGCUCUAAGUUAUGAAAUACAAUCACAUGGACAGGUGGCCUACAUUUUCAGUUUUAUAUUUGGUGAGGAGUUUUGCAGUCAAAGUGAGAAUGCCAUUGCACCGACCAGGUUUGGAAAAGGCAGCUGGAGUCCUACAGAUUCUGAGCAUGCUGAGCAGGACAGCUAGGUGGUGGUGUGGAGUGGGAGAUAGAAAAUCUGGAGCCUAGACUCAACACCACCAGUCUAUCUAUAUGACAUGGGAAAAAACAUUUGAGAUUUCUUUUUUUUUUUUUGCCUUAGUUUUCUCAUCUGAAAAAAGGUAGAACAUGAUGGGGAGGUAAGAAUAGAGUAUAAAGGGUUUGUAGGCCAGCAAAAGAGUGAAUCGGUAUCCUGGUUCUAUCACUUAGCA
rnacentral:lncRNA from 1 species